rnacentral:rRNA from 1 species
GACGAACGCUGGCGGCGUGCUUAACACAUGCAAGUCGAACGGAAAGGCCCUGCUUUUGUGGGGUGCUCGAGUGGCGAACGGGUGAGUAACACGUGAGUAACCUGCCCUUGACUUUGGGAUAACUUCAGGAAACUGGGGCUAAUAUAGGAUAGGAGCUCCUGCUGCAUGGUGGGGGUUGGAAAGUUUCGGCGGUUGGGGAUGGACUCGCGGCUUAUCAGCUUGUUGGUGGGGUAGUGGCUUACCAAGGCUUUGACGGGUAGCCGGCCUGAGAGGGUGACCGGCCACAUUGGGACUGAGAUACGGCCCAGACUCCUACGGGAGGCAGCAGUGGGGAAUAUUGCACAAUGGGCGGAAGCCUGAUGCAGCAACGCCGCGUGCGGGAUGACGGCCUUCGGGUUGUAAACCGCUUUCGCCUGUGACGAAGCGUGAGUGACGGUAAUGGGUAAAGAAGCACCGGCUAACUACGUG